rnacentral:rRNA from 1 species
GUGGGGAAUUUUGGACAAUGGGCGCAAGCCUGAUCCAGCAAUGCCGCGUGCAGGAAGAAGGCCUUCGGGUUGUAAACUGCUUUUGUCAGGGAAGAAAUCUUCUGGGCUAAUACCCCGGGAGGAUGACGGUACCUGAAGAAUAAGCACCGGCUAACUACGUGCCAGCAGCCGCGGUAAUACGUAGGGUGCGAGCGUUAAUCGGAAUUACUGGGCGUAAAGCGUGCGCAGGCGGCUUUGCAAGACAGAUGUGAAAUCCCCGGGCUCAACCUGGGAACUGCAUUUGUGACUGCAAGGCUAGAGUACGGCAGAGGGGGAUGGAAUUCCGCGUGUAGCAGUGAAAUGCGUAGAUAUGCGGAGGAACACCAAUGGCGAAGGCAAUCCCCUGGGCCUGUACUGACGCUCAUGCACGAAAGCGUGGGGAGCAAACAGGAUUAGAAACCCCUGUAGUCC